rfam:Solitalea canadensis DSM 3403, complete genome.
CAGUUAGUGGACUGAUUUGAUUGCUUGCAACCACGUUAAAAAAAUGCUAAAAACUAAUAA